UCCUGGUUAACCCAGGCAGUCUCACUAGAGUUCCCACCUUAAAUGUUGGCAACUAGUGAUAAGGGUUGCGCUCGUUGCUGGACUUAACCAAACACCUCACGGCACGAGCUGACGACAGCCAUGCAGCACCUAUAUAAGUGUCCUUGCGGAAGCACACAUCUCUGCGUGCGCCACUUACACUUCGAGCCUGGGUAAGGUUCUUCGCGUAGCAUCGAAUUAAACCACAUGCUCCACUGCUUGUGCGGGCCCCCGUCAAUUCUUUUGAGUUUCACCCUUGCGAGCGUACUCCUCAGGCGGUAUACUUAUCGCGUUAGCUUCGACACAGUCAGGGUUGAGCCCAACUACAUCAAGUAUACAUCGUUUACGGCAAGGACUAC
rnacentral:misc_RNA from 1 species